CCUACGGGAGGCAGCAGUGAGGAAUAUUGGUCAAUGGGCGGUAGCCUGAACCAGCCAAGUCGCGUGAAGGAUGACUUCCCUAUGGGUUGUAAACUUCUUUUAUAUCGGGAUAAAAUGCCUUACGUGUAGUGUUUUGAAUGUACCGUAUGAAUAAGGAUCGGCUAACUCCGUGCCAGCAGCCGCGGUAAUAUGGAGGAUCCGAGCGUUAUCCGGAUUUAUUGGGUUUAAAGGGUGCGUAGGUUGGUUGAUAAGUCAGUGGUGAAAGAUUGCGGCUCAACAGUAAAGUUGCAGUUGAUACUGGAAGCCUUGAGUACAGUAGAGGUAGGCGGAAUGUGUGGUGUAGCGGUGAAAUGCUUAGAUAUCACGAAGAACUCCGAUUGCGAAGGCAGCUUGCUAGACUGGAACUGACACUGAUGCUCGAAAGUGUGGGGAUCAAACAGGAUUAGAUACCCGUGUAGUC
rnacentral:rRNA from 1 species